rnacentral:rRNA from 1 species
AGUGAACGCUGGCGGUAGGCCUAACACAUGCAAGUCGAACGGCAGCACAGUAAGAGCUUGCUCUUACGGGUGGCGAGUGGCGGACGGGUGAGGAAUACAUCGGAAUCUACUUUUUCGUGGGGGAUAACGUAGGGAAACUUACGCUAAUACCGCAUACGACCUACGGGUGAAAGCAGGGGAUCUUCGGACCUUGCGCGAUUGAAUGAGCCGAUGUCGGAUUAGCUAGUUGGCGGGGUAAAGGCCCACCAAGGCGACGAUCCGUAGCUGGUCUGCGAGGAUGAUCGGCCACACUGGAACUGAGACACGGUCCAGACUCCUACGGGAGGCAGCAGUGGGGAAUAUUGGACAAUGGGCGCAAGCCUGAUCCAGCCAUACCGCGUGGGUGAAGAAGGCCUUCGGGUUGUAAAGCCCUUUUGUUGGGAAAGAAAAGCAGCAGGUUAAUACCCCGCUGUUCUGACGGUACCCAAAGAAUAAGCACCGGCUAACUUCGUG